UACGGAGGGUGCAAGCGUUGUUCGGAAUCACUGGGCGUAAAGCGCGUGUAGGUGGUCUUUUACGUCUGGUGUGAAAGCCCGGGGCUUACCCCCGGAAGGGCACUGGAUACUGGGAGACUAGAGUACCGGAGAGGAAGGUGGAAUUCCUGGUGUAGCGGUGAAAUGCGUAGAUAUCUGGAGGAACACCGUUGGCGAAGGCGAGCUUCUGGGCUGUCUCUGACGCUCAAGCGCGAAAGCUGGGGGAGCAAACAGG
rnacentral:rRNA from 1 species